CUGGGCUGGGCUGGUGGCGUGGUCCUGGCCAGCUGGGGUGCUUGUAGGGCUAAUAUGAAAGGGCUUAGGGCACCGUGUAACUUACCUGUUUCACUGCUGAUUUUUUUCCCCACAAUACUGAUGGUACGCAUCCCCCUCCUUUUGAACAAGACCAAGGGGGCUUUACUUCACUCCCAAGCCCAAUACUUUGAGAAAAAAGACCACUCUUCCCAUUUUCCCUUGCUGCUAGAAAAGCAGAGGCCCAGAGAGAUGCAGUCCAAGUACUGUAUAAAUAGCAGUUGUACAGUUGUACAUGGACACCUUUGCUGAAGUGGCUAAGGACCAGAGCUAGCUAUUUCCUUCUCAAAACCUAUAUAUAUCACAUAACGUAAUUUUAGAAGAUUCCCUAUUUGGAGCCUGCAUAGUUUGUGAAGAAAAUGUGGAUUUAAGACACGUAUGCUUGAUUAAGGUGUCUAAGAGAACACGAUUGAUGGCAUCAGGCAGCCUCUAAUGGAUAUUUGUCUACAUUACAAAAGAACUUCCUGCAGUCUGGACUUUUGCAUCAGAGAGGUUCGGGAUUUGGAAGGUACAGUUUUGCAGCCCAGAAUGAAAACAUGCUGGUAGAGCAGUGCAGAAUAUGUUUGCAUUCUAUUGUGUUUAUAAUAACCAGAGUGACAUCUAUGUUUUCAGGGACUGCUUGAAUGAAAUAAAGAAUGAAAAGAUAGAGGUUUGGUAUGAUCUCUGCUGCUGGGGAAGGCUAAAGAGAAAUUUGAAUCGUCUCUGUACCCUUUUGAUAUCAGGCUUUAUGAUAGAAAACAAGCAUUUUUUUUGUGUGUUGGAUACCAAAUAGCAUGCACUCGGAUUGAAGUCCAAACCAUGUUUCUUCCAAGUUUAAUCUGUUUUGUAUAUGUAGUACCGUACACACUCCCAUUAGUUGUCAUUUUCCAUCAUGAAUUUUCUGGUUGUUGAUGCUUCAAGAUGCAUGUAACACCUCCCUCCUUGCUGCUUCACUAAUAGCACCAUGUAAUCAGCUCACGCACUGUUUCUUCAAAUCCCGUUUCAGACAUUCCCCAGCCUGCACAUCCUGUUGCAGUUCUGCACAUCUGUUUCUACUGUAGAGGCAUCCACUUGUCUUCUGAUGGGCUACAAACCUCCUAGUCAUUAGUCUAUUGUCUUACCAAUUACCAGUCACAUCUGCUAGUCUCUUUACGCCAUCCCUCAUUGCAACUGUUGAAGACAGGAUACUGGGCUGGAUGGACAAAUGCAUGCCCAGCAGGGUAUUUCUUAUGUUUGUGCCUCAGUUACACUGUUUAUACAACACAGCUCUAGCUUGCAUAACGGGUUAUAAAGGAGACCACAAGGAGGUCAGAAGUACACAUUGCUGAUGAAAUGAGACAUGAAUUUUCCAAACACAUCAUGUUUUCCUCAAAUAAAUUUCUAUUCCACUGCAAACCUCUUUAUAAUCUGAGUUUUCCCCUAUAAGUAAAUGUAUGAAUGUUCUGCCAUAUGGUGUCUGCAAGCAUUAGCAUGUAAUAAAUUACUGAAACCAGAUAAAAUGCUCUUAAAUGUGAUCAGUUAGAGUUUAGCCAAUUUCACUGAAUUCUACAGGUUAACAGGACCGAGAGUUUACUUGUUCAUGUGGUACUGGAAGCUGGAGCAGAGGGAUUAAAAAUAAAUUUCCAGAUUUGUUCUGUAUUGCAACUGUAAUGACUGCAAAAGUCUGAAUGUGGUAGAAACAAAAUGAAAGUGGAAUUUGCCCCAAAAUAUUGGAGAAAAAAAAAAAAAAAAGAAUUGAGUAGCCCAGCUGCAAUAUGUUGGCUCUCUCAAUCAUUUGCCUGUGUACUUGCAGAAAGGAAAGUCUAGACAGUAGAAUCUGCAUGUACAUCAGGGGACAAUUUAGGUGCUUAGUCCUGGCUUGGCUAAGAGGUUUCGUAGUAGUUUUUAGAUCAGCUCUGACUGCAUGUGUUUGUUUUCUAAUGCAUAAUAAGAUUUCACUGUUACUUAUAUCUUUGGAUUUAGGGUUAUAAUCUGUUAAUCCCUAAAAUUUUAUCAAGAUAAUCUGUUUGAUCAUAUGCAAAAGCUCAUCUAGGUAGUAAAUAGGAGCUAUGCAAAAUAGUUCAGGCACACUACUAUGCAUAUUCAUAAACUUUCAAAAGAUCUCUCUUCUACAUUAGUCUACAAUUAAGAGUUAAGUUUUUGUUGGAGUAUCAGUUCAGAUAUCUUUGUCCUGAGGCAUAACUGAAAUCUUCCACGGAGUUUGAUAUUAAAUGUUGGCAUUGUAAAAUGUCUUAAUUUUGAAGCAACUGUCUAACAUUUAUUAUGUGAGGCACUCUGUAGUGGCUUCAUAAUUAGUUUUAAAUCAUUAUUGAUAGACCAAUUAUCUAGAAAGACCCAAUUAUUUGUGUCACAAAGCUCUCUAGUGUUCGCUAUCCAUGGAGAAAAUCCCUGGACAUUUGUCACUUACCUAUUUUGUUACAGCCAGGGAAAUGGCCAGUAGCUCCCACGGGUUUAUUUCAUGACUUGAAAUAAAGCUGUGUCCAGUAGCAGAGGGCACGAGUGACCUGGUUUCAUCUGUUUUGCACGUUUCUGUCAGAAACAUAGCAACAAGGUUUAGAGAGAAUCUUUGUAUAUUUUUUCGAGAAAAAAUAUCCCUGUGUACCCUCUGUAGAAUGAAAUAAUACACGAACCAGAAACAUUAUUUCUGGGCUUAGCUACUUUACUUUCCUUUACUUGGAUUUUAGCAGUUCAUUUGUCCAGUUUGGUUCUCAAAUAAUGUUUGAAGCUACAGGACUAGUCUGAGUUUACUCAGACAUUGAUUUAUCCCUGCAGCCAUCACAUCCCACAUGAUCUUUGCAUUUCUCCAUCAACUAAACCCCAAUGAAUUUAGGGAGAGACCUGUGUUAAAAGACAGGCCCUUCUAGGGAACCCCAGCUGGAUUCUUGCAGCGUUUCUGUGUAACUCCCAAGAGUGACUGUGUACAUCACCAUUGCAUUAUUUUAUUUGUAGGUGAGAGUAGAUAAAUUCAUCUGAACACUUCCAGUUAGAAUUUCAUGCUCAGAAGCUGUCCUCUGUGCCAAACUACAUUUCCAGAGCAAGCACGUUCAGCUUGAUUGUUUGUAAUUCUUUCUGAGUCAUUAGCCCUGUAGGAAUGAGCAUCUGCACUUGGAUGAGGCCUUUAAGGAGCUGAGCUGGAGGCACUACUG